rnacentral:lncRNA from 1 species
AUUGGUUUAGCAUAAAUUAUUUUUUAAAAAAUCAAACGUGAGCCAGAAUCUAAUUCUGAUAUCGCCGAGGGAAGGAAAACCACAACUCUGAUGCAUCUUGAACGGGGUGUGGGUAAAGGCUGCAGAAGGACUUGAUGUCCCUUAAGCCCAGCCUCAGGCUGCAGCGAGCCAAGAUUGCGCCACUGCACUCCAGCCUCCAGCCUGGGCAACAGAACAAGACUCCAUCUCUAAAACAACAACAACAAAACAACAAAAACAGCCUCAGGUGGCACUUCUUCCAGGAAGCCUUCCUGUUCUUCCCCAGUCACAAUUACUAUACCAGUUCCCCUUUGCUUCCAGGACUCUGUCCUCCUGAAACAGCACUGUUUAAUACUCCUGAUAGAAUAACAGAUGCGACUAUCGCCCCACAGUGCUGUAAGCUGGGAUGGCAGGUGUUGGGACAUAUGGAUCCAUUUUUCCAGCCCAUUAGAAGAUGACCAUGAGAACAGGUCACAAGAGCCGAUUGGCAUUACCAAGGAGAAGAAGUCUCCCAGAAAGGAGCUGCAGUGUUUAGUGAUGGCAGGCACGUGGGCACUGGGGAAAGAGAGUGGGUCUCAGGGCCAGCAGUGGGGGCCUCUUCUUCCUCUGCCAGAACCGCCCAUGACUGUGGCAAAAUUGACAGGUGGCAGGAGACAGUGGCUGAGCGUCACACCUGUCAUGGAGACAGGCUGAGACACUUCUCUGCAGUCAAUUUGGUAGCACAUUUGUCUUUUCCAGGUGGUUUACAUUUUCCCACAAAAGGAUCCACCAUGACCCCGCACAACUGCAGGAGAUCCUCCCUCGGGGUCCUUUCAACGCUGAACAACCCUGGGUGACAGGGGUGCAUUCUCAGUCCCAGGGCGGACACAGAGAUCAACGCUCCCAAGGCCUAGGGGAGCAGCUCCAGGGCCUCUUCUGAGUGCUGGAGUGGGUCCCUGAGCCUGAGACCAUGCACAGCCUCUCACGACCGCCUCCCACUCCCACUGUGGUGAUGGUGGGGUUGAGAAACAAAUGGCAUCAAAUCAACCACCCCACUGAAAUACCUCCUUUCUGAGACCCCUGGAAGGUGUCACUGAAGGAAGCUCCAAUGUCUGCAGUCCAGCUCAGCGAGCGGCCUCACAAAGCUGAUAUCCCAAAUAUUCUCCAGGAAAAGUCCAGUGCUUUUCCACAUGGGUUCCAAAGUAAAAGCCCAUUUAUGCAACAAAGAAGCUGGAGUUUAUUUCAACAUAGAGAAGAUGCAAAAGGCAACCUCUUCUUAAAUAAGAUGGUCUUCUAAUUCUAAUCAAAGACAGCAGGGGGCCCCAUCUAAGAUGUAAUAACGUCGCACCACCACGGCAAAGACUAUAGGUAAAAACUCACCUCUCCAAUCAUGCCUUCUGCAGGAAAGCCGGCGCGCUCUCUGCUGCGGGCAUAAUUGCCCAGGUGCCAGUGUUUGCCUCACUCCCAAGCACUUGCUUAAACCCUAGGUGGUUGGCUUCUCAAAAUAAAAUGCACAUCUCAUUUUACUCUGAAUAAAAGUGAAACCUUUUUUAAAGGACAAAUGUAAGAGAAAUUAAAGGGGUGGUAAUAACAUUAUCACGUCUGGAAGUGAAUGGAAGAGACACAUUUUGAUGAAGAAAUGAGGUUAUUUUGGCCACACAGAAAAUCUCUAGUCCCCAUUGCCUCUACUUAGAACAAAAUUGUGUCUCUUUCCAUGAAUAAAUCAAAAGUG